rnacentral:rRNA from 1 species
GAUGAACGCUGGCGGCGUGCCUAAUACAUGCAAGUCGAGCGAACGGACGAGAAGCUUGCUUCUCUGAUGUUAGCGGCGGACGGGUGAGUAACACGUGGAUAACCUACCUAUAAGACUGGGAUAACUUCGGGAAACCGGAGCUAAUACCGGAUAAUAUUUUGAACCGCAUGGUUCAAAAGUGAAAGACGGUCUUGCUGUCACUUAUAGAUGGAUCCGCGCUGCAUUAGCUAGUUGGUAAGGUAACGGCUUACCAAGGCAACGAGGCAUAGCCGACCUGAGAGGGGGAUCGGCCACACUGGAACGGGAACACGGUCCAGACUCCUACGGGAGGCAGCAGUAGGGAAUCUUCCGCAAUGGGCGAAAGCCUGACGGAGCAACGCCGCGUGAGUGAUGAAGGCCUUCGGAUCGUAAAACUCUGUUAUUAGGGAAGAACCGAUGUGUAAGUAACUGUGCACAUCUUGACGGUACCUAAUCAGAAAGCCACGGCUAACUACGUG